rnacentral:rRNA from 1 species
UACGUAGGGCGCAAGCGUUGUCCCGGAAUUAUUUGGGCGUAAAGAGCUCGUAGGCGGUCUGUUACGUCCGCUGUGAAAACCCAGGGCUUAACCCUGGGCUUGCAGUGGAUACGGGUAGACUAGAGGCAGGUAGGGGAGAAUGGAAUUCCCGGUGUAGCGGUGAAAUGCGCAGAUAUCGGGAGGAACACCGGUGGCGAAGGCGGUUCUCUGGGCCUGACCUGACGCUGAGGAGCGAAAGCGUGGGGAGCGAACAGG